rnacentral:rRNA from 1 species
GACGAACGCUGGCGGCGUGCUUAACACAUGCAAGUCACGGGGGGUCGCAAGACCAACCGGCGAACGGGUGCGUAACACGUGAGCAACCUACCGAUUUGAGGGGGAUAGCUGGCCUAACGGCCAGGUAAUACCGCAUACGCUUGUAAAGCCUCCUGGCUUAACAAAGGAAACCUCCGGGGCAGAUCGAGGGGCUCGCGGCCUAUCAGCUAGUUGGUGAGGUCAUAGCUCACCAAGGCGACGACGGGUAGCUGGUCUGAGAGGAUGGCCAGCCACAUUGGGACUGAGAAACGGCCCAGACUCCUACGGGAGGCAGCAGUGGGGAAUCUUGCGCAAU